AAACAUCGAUUGUACUACACACAUCAUCCGCCCGGGAAUUAUGAACACCAGUUUAAAACCCAAAGGACUUGGCGGUGCUUAACAUCCACCUAGAGGAGCCUGUUCUAGAACCGAUAAUCCCCGUUUAACCUCACCCUCUCUUGUUUAUUCCCGCCUAUAUACCGCCGUCGUCAGCUUACCCUGUGAAGGUCUAACAGUAAGCAAAAUUGGUACAACCCAAAACGUCAGGUCGAGGUGUAGCGAAUGGGAGGGGAAGAAAUAGGCUACAUUUACUAUUCAUAGUAAAAACGAAUGUUGGAUUGAAACAUCUGACUGAAGGAGGAUUUAGCAGUAAGCAGGAAAUAGAGCGUCCC
rnacentral:rRNA from 1 species